GACAGAGGUGGCGAGCGUUGUUCGGAUUUAUUGGGCGUAAAGCGAACGCAGGUGGUUUGGUAAGUCAGAGGUGAAAGACCACAGCUUAACUGUGGCACUGCCUUUGAUACUGCCUUUCUAGAGUGCAUGAGGGGAGCGGAAUCCGAGUGUAGAGGUGAAAUUCGUAGAUAUUCGGUAGGAACGACCAGUGGCGAAGGCGGCGACCUCGGACAGUAACUGACGCUGAGGCGCGAAAGUGUGGGGAGC
rnacentral:rRNA from 1 species